rnacentral:rRNA from 1 species
AACGCGAAGAACCUUACCAAGGCUUGACAUCCCCUUGACCAGUGCAGAGAUGUACUCUUCUCUUCGGAGACAAGGGUGACAGGUGGUGCAUGGUUGUCGUCAGCUCGUGUCGUGAGAUGUUGGGUUAAGUCCCGCAACGAGCGCAACCCUUAUCCUUAGUUGCCAGCAAGUAAUGUUGGGCACUCUAAGGAGACUGCCGAUGAUAAAUCGGAGGAAGGUGGGGAUGACGUCAAAUCAUCAUGCCCCUUAUGUCUUGGGCUACACACGUGCUACAAUGGUCGGUACAAAGGGAAGCGAAGUAGAGAUAUGGAGCAAAUCCCAAUAAACCGAUCCCAGUUCGGAUUGUAGGCUGCAACUCGCCUACAUGAAGUCGGAGUUGCUAGUAAUCGCGAACCAGAACGUCGCGGUGAAUGCGUUCCCGGGUCUUGUACACACCG